UACGUAGGGUGCAAGCGUUGUCCGGAAUUAUUGGGCGUAAAGAGCUCGUAGGCGGUUUGUCGCGUCGGCGUGUGAAAAACUCGGGGCUCAACCCCGAGCCUGGCAGUCCGAUACGGGCAGACUAGAGUGCUGUAGGGGAGACUGGAAUUCCUGGUGUAGCGGUGAAAUGCGCAGAUAUCGAGGAGGAACCAGCCGGUGGCGAAGGCGGGUCUCUGGGCAGUAACUGACGCUGAGGAGCGAAAGCGUGGGGAGCGAA
rnacentral:rRNA from 1 species